rnacentral:lncRNA from 1 species
CCGCUCUGUAAGAAUACAGCAUGGAGGAGCAUUUGAGGAGGAGAGGUACUGCAGAGCAAGCACUGCGCAGGUGAUGCUACCCAGCAGAGUCCUAGGACUAAAUCCACAGAGAAAUUAAUGCUGCUUUAUGUAGCACACAUUCAGGACCUGCUGCCUUGGAGAGAUGGACAUGGUGCAGCCCUGGAGGAAGGGAGAGCUAAUAAUCGUAGCUGUGAGGAACACAGUCAGUCAACUUCAACAGCUGGGAAAGAGCAGUCUGUUAAAGAACAUGCAGCCUGGAGGCCCACCCACAUCCAUCUACAUGGUCUGGUGCAGCAGCUGGUGUUGUGAAUCAGGCCGUUGCCAAUCAGAGAACGGCUACUUCACAACACCAGGGUUGUACCCUACCACAGUCAACAGCCUGGAAAGCAACGUACAGAAAAAGAAGAUUCCUGACACUUACAUUCAACAUUGUCUUCUAUCCUCAGCAAUUAGAUUGUAUAUAAUAGUCAUAGACUUUAAGGUCAGAAGGGACCAUUAUGAUCAUCUAGUCUGACCUGCACAACGCAGGCCACAGAAUCUCACCCACCCACUCCUGGAACAAACCCCUAACCUAUACCUGAGUUAUUGAAGUCCUCAAAUCGUGCUUUAAAGACCUCAAGGUGCAGAGAAUCCUCCAGGAAGUGACCCAUGCCCCACGCUGCAGAGGAAGGCGAAAAAUCUCCACAACCUCUGCCAAUCUGCCCUGGAGGAAAAUUCCUUCCCGACCCCAAAUAUGGCGAUCAGUUAAACCCUGAGCAUGUGGGCAAGACUCACCAGCCAGCACCCAGGAAAGAAUUCUCUGUAGUAACUCAGAUCCCACCCUAUCUAACAUCCCUUCAUAGAUCAUUGGGCAUAUUUACCUGCUAAUAAUCAAAGAUCAGUUAAUUGCCAAAAUUAGGCUAUCCCAUCAUACCAUCCCCUCCAUAAACUUAUCAAGCUUAGUCUUGAAGCCAGAUAUGUCUUUUGCCCCCACUACUCCCCUUGGAGGGNNNNNNNNNNNNNNNNNNNNCCAGGCAGACAUUUAACAUUUCUGUAAGGUACACUGCAGCUAUAUUUAUUAUUCUAAUGUUAAGAAGGAGGUAGCUCUUAUCAAGUGAAUGAAAAUAUUAGCGCAAAGAGCCCCACUACAUUCCCGGUGUGGUGUGGUUUGUGGAUUGUUGUCCUUGCUUAUGUACUAUUUAUUAUAGGCACAAUUCCAUCUAAUUAUCCGAUCAGUUGUUUUCUGUAACUUACUGUAUUUGUCAUAAAAGAAAAUGAAGUUUGUGAGUGAUAAGAAAAUCUCAUCUGUGUUGUGUGCAAGUAGAAGCACCUUCUAAUAACUGAGCACGGUUGUCUAGAACUAGUACCACAAGGGCAAGCUGCUAUUUCUCAAAGGAGAAAAACUGAAUUCACAUUGCUCAGGAAACCACCAACAAAUCUGCUACACUUCCUACGUGAAUGCAGGACACACAAAAUAUCUACUGUACCCUCUGAGUUACCCUCUCCUUGGAGAGAAAUAUAUAGGAGGUCAUAGG